AUAAUGUAAACAAAUAAAUGUCAUUCAGUUUAACCCUCAAAUUAACUUAGAAAACACAAAAUGAAUAUGAGAAAAUGUUGUUUUAUUAAUGUUUAUAUUGAUAAAUGCUUUUUAUAUUUCUUUGAGAGAAUAAUGUUAAGUGCCUGAUAUUCUUUUAUAAACUUGUGAGCUUGAAAAAAAAAAUUCUGAUGUCACUGAUCUUUUUUCUACCGUCAAACUGAAAUCAUUCUAAGAAUUUCUGAGGGUCUUGGCAGAGUAAUUUUAUGUUGUUUUUUUCUUGAGUUAAUAAAUCUCAAAUGAUAAGCUUUUUUAAAUCAAUUAAAAUUCGAAUUUUGAACGGUUCUGAGCAUUUCCCAUGUAGUUGGCCCCGGAAAAAUAAAACACAUACGUAAAGCAUGUAGAAUUGGAUAAAUACAUUCCAAGCUAAAGGAUUUAAUGUAUGUGUUUUGUUUUAAAUAUACAUCAUGAAUCUUUUUUAAAAUUUUAUGAUAUAAUAGCGUCAACGCACGUUUAUUUCAAUUUUAGUAUUUACAUUUUAAUGUUAUUACAAAUUUCAUCUGCUAUGAUUGGGUUAGUAUUUUGUCAUUUGAAUGUAGAAUGUCUCUUUUUAUAACAUAAACUGCUCAUUUCAUUUUGUUCUGAUGAUAGCUAUAUUUCAGACAUCUACAAAAACAGAGAUUAAAACAUAUAAACAGUAAUGAGAGAUGGUUUCAGGAAUGAGGUUGCCAGGCAGCAAAGAAUUGAGGAAGAAAUGCAUGAAAAACGUGAACAACAGAAAAUGGACAUUUCAAAAUUAAACACUAUGAUUAAUCAGGCAUAGGAACAGAUGAUAAAAUUAAGAAAUAGAUAUGAAAAAGCCAUAACACAUAGGAAUGAGAGAGGUAUUGAAAGAAAGAAAAUUGAUUGAAAGAAAUGAGGUGUGCAUUUUCUAGGAAAAAGUUAACAUUCAAGAUGAAAUGAUCCGGAAUGGUAACGUAGAGUUGCAAACUAGGGAAGAAGAGAUCCGGUUUAUACAGAUGAACAAAGAGAAAUGCUCUCCAUGCUCAAACACCUAACAGAGUUAAUCUUGAAGGGGAACUAGUCACUUUACAAAUACAGCAACAAGAUGUACAGAUCUGUACAAACGUGAGUCCAGCAUGUUGCUGGUGUCAUGAUGCCAGCAACACAGGGUUAGACAAGUGUGUUUGUGGGACGGCAUAUGGCAUUGUAUUUAAGGACAAUAGCACAUUGAAAUAUCAAGCAGAUAGAUGGUGAUUUUAUGAAAUGUCCGUGUAAGUGCUUAGAAAAGUUUAUGUGACAUUUACUUUUGUUUAUUUUCGGGCAUUUUGAUAAGCAAUACACUUUUCUGAUUACAUAAAAGUAUAUAACUGGUCAAGUUCAAUUAUGUGGAUUAGCCUGUCCAUGAAAACCCACAAAAUGAUUGCCUCAUUGAUAAUGUCUUUGCAAUACUUGAGUUUACAAUUAUGGUCUACAACUGUGAGCUAUUGUACACACCCAGGCAUUGGUGUCACACUUUGGUAAGUUUUUGCAUGCAUGUUGGUAUCUCCAAAACUACUAAAGGGAAUAAUUGAAACUUCACACAGUAACUUAAGAGCAUAAUUAUCCAAGGCCCAUAACUCUAACUUAGA